UCUGAGAACCCAAGGCGAUGUUCCAACUCUUUUUCUUCACAAAAAGGGGACAAAGAACAUACCCCAAAAAUUCAGCAAUGCUUUUCUCCUUCUCCAACCCUUAUGCACCCUAAGCUCCUUUCUUCUUCAUGGACAGCCCCCGCCUCCUGUUUUGCUUUCAUCUUCUUCAUCCAUCACCAUGGACGCUGGCCAAAACCAGCAGUGAAACUCCAUUGCCGGCGAUUGCAGAUCUCACCUUCAUUAUCAUCUCUCUCACCCCUCUUUCCGUUGCGAUGAAACUUGCUGGAAGUCGGGGAAACUGCAGCUCCCAUUUCGUUCAUUAAUGGUGCUUUAGAUCUAACAAGAUCGGGCCUGUUUUGUUCUCGUUUUUCCGAUAAAUCAUUCAUCAUCGUUUAUUUUCUUGCUGAUAUAAGUGAAUGCGGAUGAAGAAAGCCCCAAACCAGUUGUUGGCUCAAGUUGUUUCUGGACUAAAGUCGUGUCUGAUGUUACUGGGAUGCUGCUGUAUCUACUGAUUUCUGCUUACGCCGAGCUCCCCGUUACUAUUUUAGCAUGGUUGAGUCUUCUCGUCGAAGUUCCAUCUUUGUAAUCUAGAAAUUUUCAUAUAUAAAACGCUAAUUUGGAGCCGUGGAAUUGCCGCUCGUUGUCCGCUGAUUUGCAUUGUUGUUGUACUGCUUCUCGUUGCUGUUAUGCUGCUGUGGAGCUACAUUUUUCUUUAAUUCCAUACUUUAUUUGAUCAAUUUCUGCAAUUCCUCCACUUUUAGGUAUGUACAUUCACCUAUCAGCAUUUACUUGAAUUCAUGAAUGAAAUGUGGUUAGCUUGUGUUGAUGUUUUGUUUGUUUACUUAGAGAUUGCAAGGAAUUUUGGGGAACUGAGUAUGUCUGGAAUGUACUGAUAUAAUGUCAAGGAAUUUUGGGGAACUGAGUAUGUCUGGAAUGUACUGAUAUAAUGUUAAAACUAGGAUAUGAAUAUAA
rnacentral:lncRNA from 1 species